AUGUGCGAGGUUGGUUAGUGUGCCGUGGAGAAUGCAACAACAGCUGUCUUUGUUUCUUUCUAUUUUCACUGUCAAAGAAAGAAGAAAGGUGCGGGUGAUAGAAGAGAAGAGUGUUACCACAUGUGAGAUUAGCUUAUAUACCUAGUGGGGGCAGGCAAUGAGAUAGCUUCUAUUUUUCUUUAAAUUGGGCCACAACGGGACAGUAGCCCAAUUGACUUCAUUGCUAUAGAAGAGAUUCGAUUUUGAGUGAGGUUGUACUAGUUCUUGGUGGACUUAUGAAUGUCACUAUAA